UCUGGAGGAUGCUGCUGGUACACAACAUCCUUACUUCUUAAUCACUUAUCUGGAUGGUGCACAACAUUAAUGCUUUGUUAAUGCUAAGUCCCUAAAUUGUUUUUGUGUGCACUAAGGAAAGGCUCUGUUCUCUUAACAAGGAUAGAAAGUGUAAUAGAAUACACAAACCAACAUGGACAACCCAGAUCUGGAACUCAAGAACAAUCUGACACUCCAGCUGGCAUGACAUGUGUGUCCUGGAUGAAUGGCCAUCCCAUGCUCGCCCCAACCGUGCACUGCUACACGAUGGAACCAAUUAAUUAACUAGACUGGGCUCUAUAGACCAUGGAAGUUUAGUCUUGACACUUAAUUAGGAUGGCACAUUUAGUAUGAUGAAUGAUUG